GUUGCGGUGAUAAGUGCCACUGGGUCAUUUAGCUGUCAUUAGCAACAAACGAACUGUCAUAUAAAAUACCAUGCUUUCUAUUUCUGGCUCACGCUAUGCUGUGUGCUUGGUAAUAAAAAAAAAAAAAAGGAAGAGAAAGUUGGACAAGACGGCAACAUGAGCGACACUGAAAUACAACCACGUGUUUCUAGCUUUCGUUCGGUCCCAAACCUUUUUAGUACUCUCACCCUGAACAGAGAAUUUAUCGCCUGACUCACAUAAUAACAAAUAUUAGAACAUCAUCUCACAAACCAAAGUUGUAUUCAUUAAGUUGCGUAUGAAAUAAUACAAGUGCGAUUAGUUUUAUAGGGGGAAAGUAAGAAAGUAGAGUUGGCUGGUGAACGAAAUGUAAUGAACGAGUCAGAAGCUUUCCCCAGACAAGCUCAACUCCACUCUUGUGUUCACGGAGCGAGCAGCCCGCCAGCCUCAACCAGCCAUUAGCCAGCAGAAGUAACUGGGACUCUGUGGGGUGAGGACGUACUGUGCGUGGUCAUAUCGUCGCGUUGAAGAAGCCUCCAGAAUCUAACUCGAGUCGCGUGGAAGUGCGAGGUGGAUUUGGACUUCCCUUCGUGUUACUCGGCUUCAUUCGGCGCAAGUGAGCAGGCGGCGGGAUGGUGGCGGAAGUCAUGUCCCCGUUGGUUACCUCGGCCCUCAGGCUGGUGGUGAUCACGAUGCUCUUCGCUGCCAACUGUGGGGCUGUGUGCCGCACCUACAGGCUGCCCAAGUACAGAGGGGUGUUGGUCCUACAAGUGGAUCACAGUUCUCUCCAUCCCUCAUCCUGAACCUGACAUAUUUGUCCUUCAUCUGGGCACCCCUUCACCAUCACCAACCUUCAAGCACAACCUGCAGGAUCUCCGAGCUGUGCACCGGCCUGGUGGUGCCACGGAGCAGAUCCCAGGUGCCCUCUCACCUACAAUCCUGGCCCUACCCUGGAGAACUCGCAAACGGUACCCUUGUGCAAGAGACCAAGCUUGGCCACAGUGUUGGGAGAGACAAACUAUGGCCAGCUGGUUCUGCCUGAAGGAAAUGGACCCCAAGAUCUAAUAACUGUUAGUUUUGAUAAGCUGAAAAAAGUUUGAAAGUAACCUUGCACUCUCCUGCUCAGCCCAGACGUUCCAGGCUUGGUGACUCUCUGAACCAGUGGAUUAUUCAUGUUCAAGACCUUAUUACUUCAAUCAUUUGUCUACAGCCUGAUCCUGUUAACAGUUAUGAGGCGGGCCAUGGCAGACCAAGUGUCUGGUGCUGGGCAGCCUGCAGGUGUCCCUGAGUUCCUUCCUGCUGGCAAUGCUGCCCAUCCCACUGGUGCUGGCCACUCGGGAGCUGGCCAACACCUCUAACCUAUUUGCUCUCCACACCUCGGAGGUCUCCAAGAGUGGCUAUACCAUGUACAGCAUCAUCUGUGACGUGAACAUCACCCAGAACUACGUGGUGAGCCUCUUCCUGGAGUGUGCCGUGGUGCUGCUGGUGGCUGCCGUGCUGCUGGUGGUGACGCAGCGCCGCAUCAAGUUUGCUUUCUCCAGCACAGAGGAGGAUGGAUGCGAGUCAGUCCCAGGUGGAGGAUGUGGCGUGUAAAUUUGUGAUGUCACUGGGUGCUGGGUGGGCCUGGCCUCUGAAACCUGUCCUUGUCACCAUCCUCUUCUGCAUCCAUGGAACUCACUGGAGCAAUGUGGUUUGCUGGUUGGCCAACAUGGUGGUGGCCAUCCCAGUGGUGUUCAUGCCACUUGCUGUCUUCCUGUCCCGGCCUGAGGAGCACAACGGCUGCACUGUCUACAAUGUCUUUGAAAACGAUGCUGAGAACACUGAGGCUAUAGAAGAAAAGCAUUACAUGGACCAGAGUACUGAAACUGAAAUUGAAUGUGAUGCUGAAGAUGUUUGUUGUAAGUUUACAACCGUAGAUAUAUUGCCAGAAGGGAGGGUAUUUGUUUCCUUGGAUGCUCCAGAGAAAGGGAGCCAGGCAAAGGAGAACCUUAAGUUUUACCUUGGUACUGAUAUUUUCAAACCUAAGAAGGAAGAUGAGGUUUGCAUCUUAGGUAAGAGUUGCCAUACUCGUACACCUGAUGGUAAUGACUCCUUCGUUUAAAGAUCUGUCAAGUAAGUUCUAGUGAAGUAAAUGAGAGGAACAAAACUUAAAUGUAUGAGCUUUCUUUUUAAUAUGGUUAGGAAUUUAAAAAGAAGCAUUAUUGGCAUACAUUGAGAGAAACUUGAGCAAUAUAGAAAACUAUCUGGAGCUGGUCUACCAGAACUUUUGGGACACACACACACACACACACACACACACACACACACACACACACACACACACACACACACACACACACACACACACACACACACACACACACACACACACACACACACACACACACACACACAAAUUUUGCUCAUGUACACUAGUUCCUUGCUGACUGUGAUGAUGCUUGGCGGAAGUGCUAAAGUGUUGCAGACUGGUAUGAUCUUAAGUAGUACAAUAUUCCUGGGUGUGUUGGCCCUUGCACUGGCUAUCCCUGCUGUGUUUUGAUAUAGUAUUCUUUUUUCCACCUGUUUUGAUCUCAUCCAUACUGUUGUAAGUAAAGUAUGAAUGUGUGUGUAUGCUUGUAUCUUUAUAAUGCCUGCAUGUGUCUUUGUAAUGGUGUAUCCCUUAGUGCCUUAGAUUGGGGAAGUUUUCUAGAGUUUGUCAUGUAUGUCGCUCAAUCAUCCCAUUAUCAUUAAGGAAGAGACUGUGAUUAGGGAAUGUUAUCUCUGAAAUAAAUAGUAUAUACAAA